rnacentral:rRNA from 1 species
UACGUAGGGGGCAAGCGUUGUCCGGAUUUAUUGGGCGUAAAGAGCGUGUAGGCGGCUAGAUAGGUCCGUUGUGAAAACUCGAGGCUCAACCUCGAGCUGUCGGUGGAAACCACAUGGCUAGGGUCCGGAAGAGGAGAGUGGAAUUCCUGGUGUAGCGGUGAAAUGCGCAGAUAUCAGGAAGAACACCAAUGGCGAAGGCAGCUCUCUGGGGACGGUACUGACACUGAGACGCGAAAGCGUGGGGAGCGAACAGG